rfam:Roseburia sp. CAG:45 genomic scaffold, scf123
UUAUAACGACUGCUAGGGGCACUUGGAAUUUCACCUGAAAACCGGCAACACUGGCACAGGGAUGUGCCAGAGAGGUGCAUAUGAGCACGGAUGUGAAUUUGCACCGGUUGCCGGAUAAAGUGAUAUAUUGUCCGAAAUUUCCGGUGCCCCUUGCAGCCGUUAGGU